rnacentral:rRNA from 1 species
UUCACGCCAGUAGCGCACGUAGCGAAAAACCGCUGGUAACGCUCAACUGUGCGGCACUCAACGAAUCCUUGCUGGAAUCUGAAUUGUUCGGUCACGAAAAAGGGGCGUUUACUGGAGCCGAUAAACGCCGGGAAGGGCGCUUUGUUGAGGCGGACGGCGGCACGUUGUUUCUCGAUGAAAUUGGCGAUAUCUCGCCGAUGAUGCUGGUGCGUCUGCUGCGUGCGAUUCAGGAGCGCGAAGUUCAGCGUGUCGGUAGCAACCAGACUAUUUCGGUUGAUGUCCGGCUGAUUGCCGCGACCCAUCGCGAUCUUGCCGCAGAGGUGAAUGCCGGGCGUUUUCGCCAGGAUCUCUACUAUCGCCUGAACGUGGUGGCGAUUGAAGUACCAUCGCUGCGGCAACGGCGGGAAGAUAUUCCUCUGCUGGCUGGCCAUUUUCUGCAGCGCUUUGCUGAACGUAAUCGCAAGGCGGUAAAAGGCUUUACGCCCCAGGCGAUGGAUCUGUUGAUUCAUUACGACUGGCCGGGAAAUAUUCGUGAACUGGAAAAUGCGGUGGAACGGGCGGUGGUGCUGCUGACUGGGGAAUAUAUUUCCGAACGCGAGCUGCCGCUGGCGAUUGCCAGUACGCCGAUCCCGCUGGCACAAAGCCUGGAUAUUCAGCCGCUGGUGGAAGUCGAAAAAGAAGUGAUUCUGGCGGCACUGGAGAAAACGGGCGGCAACAAAACCGAAGCCGCCCGUCAGUUAGGGAUCACGCGCAAAACGCUGUUGGCAAAAUUGUCGCGUUAGUUCUGCUCGCGUUCGAUAGCGCGCCAGCCGAUAUCUUUCCGGCAGAAGCAGUCGUCCCAGUGGAUAUCGGUCAUUAAGGCAUAGGCGCGUUUCUGUGCUUCUGCUACGGUAUGACCCAGCGCGGUGACGCACAGUACGCGCCCGCCGCUGGUUACCACCUGCUCGUCAUCCGCCAGUUUUGUGCCCGCGUGGAACACUUUGCCGUCUUCCACUUCUUCCAGCGGCAGGCCGUGGAUCACGUCACCGGUGCGGUAAUCGCCCGGAUAUCCACCCGCAGCCAUCACCACGCCGAGAGAAGCACGUUCAUCCCACUCUGACGUUUUCUCGUCUAGUUUGCCUUCACAGGCCGCCAGGCAGAGUUCAACAAGAUCGGACUUCAUGCGCAGCAUAAUCGGCUGGGUUUCUGGAUCGCCAAAGCGGCAGUUAAAUUCGAUAACCUUCGGAUUGCCCUGUUUGUCGAUCAUCAGGCCCGCGUAGAGAAAACCGGUGUAGGUGUUGCCUUCCGACGCCAUGCCUUUCACGGUUGGCCAGAUGAUACGUUCCAUCGUGCGCUGAUGAACGUCAUCUGUCACUACCGGCGCAGGAGAGUAAGCGCCCAUUCCGCCCGUGUUCGGCCCGGUAUCUUUAUCGCCUACGCGUUUGUGAUCCUGGCUGGUGGCCAUCGGCAGCACAUGCUCGCCGUCCACCAUCACGAUAAAGCUCGCUUCUUCGCCGUCGAGGAACUCUUCGAUAACGAUGCGAUGACCCGCGUCGCCAAACGCGUUGCCCGCCAGCAUAUCGUGAACAGCCGCUUCCGCUUCUUCCAGCGUCAUCGCCACGAUAACGCCUUUCCCGGCAGCCAGACCGUCCGCUUUAAUGACGAUUGGCGCGCCUUUCUCACGCAGAUACGCCAGCGCAGGUUCUACCUCGGUGAAGUUCUGAUAUUCCGCCGUAGGAAUGUUAUGGCGGGCCAGGAAAUCUUUAGUAAACGCUUUCGAGCCUUCCAGCUGUGCGGCGCCUGCGGUUGGGCCGAAGAUUUUCAUCCCGGCGGCGCGGAAGGUAUCGACCACGCCUUUCACCAGCGGCGCUUCCGGGCCGACGAUGGUUAGAUCUACCUUUUCGUUUUGCGCGAAAUCCAGCAGCGCCGGGAUAUCGGUCACGCCGAUAGCGACGUUUUGCAGCGUGGGUUCCAGCGCUGUGCCUGCGUUACCCGGAGCAACAAAAACAGUCUCAACCAGCGGCGACUGGGCCGCUUUCCAGGCCAGCGCGUGCUCGCGCCCGCCGUUACCAAUCACUAAUACUUUCAUCUGUCGCUCCAUUAAUGGCGGAAGUGGCGCAUAUCGGUGAAGAGCAUCGCAAUACCGUGCUCGUCGGCGGCGGCAAUCACUUCGUCAUCACGGAUGGAACCGCCAGGCUGGAUUACGCAGGUCACGCCCGCAGCGGCGGCGGCAUCAAUACCGUCGCGGAACGGGAAGAACGCGUCAGAAGCCAUCGAGGAACCUUUCACUUCCAGGCCUUCAUCGGCAGCUUUAAUACCGGCGAUUUUCGCGGAGUACACGCGGCUCAUCUGGCCCGCGCCAAUACCGAUGGUCAUAUUGUUUUUGGCAUAGACGAUAGCAUUGGAUUUCACGAACUUCGCCACUUUCCAGCAGAACAGCGCAUCACGCAGUUCCUGUUCGGUCGGCUGACGUUUGGUGACGACGCGCAGUUCUUCCGCACCGACCAUGCCCAGAUCGCGAUCCUGAACCAGCAGACCGCCGUUCACGCGUUUGAAAUCAAGACCCGGAACACGCUCGCCCCACUGACCGCAGGUCAGAACGCGUACAUUCUGUUUGGCGGCGGUGAUUUUCAGGGCUUCUUCGCUGGCGGACGGCGCAAUAAUCACUUCAACAAACUGACGAGAAAUGAUGGCCUGUGCGGUUUCCGCAUCCAGCUCGCGGUUAAAGGCAAUGAUGCCGCCGAAUGCGGAGGUCGGGUCGGUUUUGUACGCGCGAUCGUAAGCAUCAAGAAUUGAAUUGCCGAUAGCCACGCCGCAAGGGUUGGCGUGCUUCACAAUCACACAUGCCGGCUCGGCGAACUCUUUCACGCACUCCAGCGCCGCAUCGGUAUCGGCGAUGUUGUUAUAAGAGAGGGCUUUACCCUGAACCUGGGUUGCGGUAGCAACGGAGGCUUCUUUCACAUUCUCUUCUAUAUAGAAGGCAGCCUGCUGGUGGCUGUUCUCGCCGUAACGCAUAUCCUGCUUCUUAAUGAAGUUCAGGUUCAGCGUGCGUGGGAAGCGACCGGCGGCUUCUUUGCUUUCACCGUGAUAAGCCGGAACCAUGCUGCCGAAGUAGUUGGCAAUCAUGCUGUCGUAGGCGGCAGUGUGUUCGAAGGCUUUGAUGGCGAGGUCGAAACGGGUUGCAAGCGUCAGCGAUCCUUCGUUGUCAUCCAUCUCUUUAAUAAUGGCGUCGUAGUCGCUGCUCUUCACCACGAUUGCGACAUCUUUAUGGUUCUUGGCGGCGGAGCGCACCAUCGUUGGGCCGCCGAUAUCGAUGUUCUCAACCGCAUCUUCCAGCGAGCAACCUUCACGGGCCACGGUCUGGGCGAACGGAUACAGGUUAACAACCACCAUAUCGAUAGGCUGGAUCUGAUGUUCUUCCAUAAUGGCAUCGUCCUGGCCGCGACGGCCCAGAAUGCCACCAUGUACUUUCGGAUGCAGGGUCUUCACGCGUCCAUCCAUCAUCUCCGGGAAACCGGUGUAAUCGGAAACUUCGGUUACCGGCAGACCUUUUUCUGCUAACAGACGGGCAGUGCCCCCUGUAGACAGCAGCUCCACACCGCGUGCGGAAAGUGCCUGGGCGAAUUCGACGAUACCGGCUUUGUCAGAAACACUGAGCAGAGCGCGGCGGACUGGACGACGUUGUUGCAUGGUAAAUCCCCUGGAUUUGACUAUUACAGAGAGCGUUAGCUGAAUUUUUCGCGAAAAACUCAGCUAACGCCCCUAACGGGGCAUCCUUAUUUUUCGCCCGCAUUGUAACGAAAACGUUUGCGCAACGCUCGCGAAUUUUUUUAAUUCGAUGGCGAUCACGAUUUUGCCCCCGAUUAGCGUGGGAGAAAUAGAGAAAUAACGCUGAUGAUUGUGGAUAACUCUGUGCGUAAAAAGGUAUAAAGCGGGGUUUUGCUGGGGAAUGCAGCAGUCAGUCAUUUUUCUGCAAUUUUUCUAUUGCGGCCUGCGGAGAACUCCCUAUAAUGCGCCUCCAUCGACACGGCGGAUGUGAAUCACUUCACACAAACAGCCGGUUCGGUUGAAGAGAAAAAUUCUGAAAUUCAGGGUUGACUCUGAAAGAGGAAAGCGUAAUAUACGCCACCUCGCGACAGUGAGCUGAAAGCCGCGUCGCAACUGCUCUU